CAUUAAAAAAAAAAUUAAAUAAAUAAAUAAAUAAAAAUAAAAAAUAAAAAAUAUAUAUAAAUUAUUUGAUCACUGUUUCAAUUGAAGCACUUUAGCUUUCGCACUUGUUGCACUGUUCUCUGAGCAACAAAAAAAAAAGUAUUUAUAUAAAAAAAAAAUUAUUGAGAAAAAAAAUUCGAUUAUAUAAAGUGUUAUAUAAUGUUAUUCGAUAUUUUAACGGCCUGUUGUUGUUGACACAUAAUUUGGAAACGCGUUUAAUCGGCGAGCGUAAGUAAAUGUUUGACUGGGAGCGACAGAGAGAGAGAGAG